rnacentral:sRNA from 1 species
UGGCUCUCUCUCUGCCCUUCCAGGCUGAGCAGCGUGUUAUGUCCCGGGUACACUCUCUGGAGCGGCGUCUGGAAGCUCUUGCUGCUGAAUUUUCCUCCAACUGGCAGAAGGAGGCCAUGCGGCUGGAACGUCUGGAGCUGCGGCAAGGGGCUCCUGGCCAGGGAGGUGGUGGUGGCCUGAGCCACGAGGACACCCUGGCGCUGCUGGAGGGGCUAGUGAGCCGCCGUGAAGCUGCCCUGAAGGAGGAUUUCCGCAGGGAAACUGCUGCUCGCAUCCAGGAAGAACUGUCUGCCCUGAGAGCAGAGCAUCAGCAAGACUCAGAAGACCUCUUCAAGAAGAUCGUCCGGGCCUCCCAGGAGUCCGAGGCUCGCAUCCAGCAGCUGAAGUCAGAGUGGCAAAGCAUGACCCAGGAGUCCUUCCAGGAGAGCUCUGUGAAGGAGCUGAGGCGGCUGGAGGACCAGCUGGCCGGCCUGCAGCAGGAGCUGGCGGCUCUGGCACUGAAGCAGAGCUCGGUGGCGGAUGAAGUGGGCCUGCUGCCCCA